CCAUGAGAGAAAAGAACUGGUUCCCUGUUGACGAUCGAGUAAUAGCAAAGCUUACAGAAAAUCGAGAAGCACAGCGACACAGAGACAGCGGCUAGCUAACGCAAAAGCAUACGCACAAAUAUAAUUGAUAUAGCUUUAUAUGGCCUAAUUGGAAUAUUUUCUUCAUAUCCUUUGUUCCUUUCCUCUCACAUUUCUCGCCUUUUCUUGCCUCUCUUUAGCUUGCGUCCACUCCCAAGAAGUAAGUCCCAACUUUGCUCAUUUAUAUAUAGUGCUGUCUCCACAUGCCAAAUUGUUUUCUCCGGAUGUUGCUUUCAUGUCUUUGGACUACCCAAAAGUUUGAUCGUGACAUGAAUAAAUUAAGUUGCAGGGUUGAUUAAUGCAUACUUUGCAUGCUCAGUUUCCAUGCUAUAAAUACGCACUUGGAGCCUCAGUACAAAGCCCAUGACUCUGAAACCAACUUCUCUCAUCUCCUGCAUCUGCCAAGCCUGAGGCAGUGAAUUCUCUCAUUAACUAGUUCUUCAUCCUUGAUAGAGAGACAGCUUUGCUACAUCUCAACAUCAAAGAACAAAGAUGAAGAUCGCCAAGGCCCCAGGGCUCCUGAAGAAGGCGGCGGCGUUGUGCAAGAGCAAGACCGGCGUCAUCACGGCCAGGCUCCUCGUCCUCGCCUCGCCCCGCCGCAGGAUGGCCACGGUUGGUGCCAUCUCGCACAGGAUCCAUGCCGUGAUGGUGGCCGACCGGGAGAAGGAGAGUGCCUGCGACAAGACUCGUCAUCAUCUCGUGCUGCGCAAGGUCGAGAGGAAGACGCCGAAGAUCCAUGGGAGUGAGAUUGUCGAUUUCUCUCGUCAGUUGGCGCUGUUCGAUCAGGAGGUUGGUCAUGGUGAUGGCGGAUGCCCUGACUGGACGCUGCACCCCAUCUUCAACGACGAGGGGGGCAGCAGCUGCUCGUACACGGAAGAAGACUACGAGGUUGAUGACGAUGAUGAGGAGGAGGAUCGGGGCGUGCUACCCGAUGCAUUGGACGACGAGCUGUCGGUGAUGGAUGUGAUCAGGAACAGCCGAGAAGUUGAGGGCGUGGAGUUCAACAUGGAGGAUGAGAUCGACCAGGCUGCCGACAUGUUCAUCAGGAGGUUCCGGGAGCGGAUGAACCAGAGCUUCUAGUAACUGUGUGUUUCCGUGGAAACAGACUAAUUUAACAGUCAAAGUAGAUAGCUAUGUUACUCAGGAGUCAGGACAUGAGCAUGCCCACCCGCAUGAUAGGAGUUUUUGCAGGAGUCCAGACAGUGUGUGCGUAAUUUUUUGGUUUAGAGAGUUUUUGAUGCAUAUGUAGCUAUACAUGCUAAAAUGUGUUUGUGCGCACGCACGUGUCUGAAUCCAAGGAUAACAAGACACUAGUGAAUUUUAGGAAUUGCAAUCAUUUUCUUAACUUUUCAAAGAACUACUUCUCCUGGAUCCCAAAUCUCCGUUUCCGUGCAUAUGGAGCGGUGGCAUAGCAAGGAUUUCGACCUAGGGUAGUCCGUUUGACAAUUUUUGCUGUCAUAUAUAAACUAGCCGGACAUGCAAUUGUGCUCUCUGCUCGCUAAGGUUGGAAACUGGGAAACAAGAUGUCUGCGUUAGAGUAAUUGGGUCGAAAAGGCUGUGAUCAUGAUCAACAAGCAUAGGUCUCAUACAAAGAAACAAAUACAGCUCAUAGUCAAGAGUAUACUGAUCUAGACAUUGGAUAUAUAGACUUGGAUGUGGUAUAUGUUUUUUAUAAUUUUUGGGCUGAUAGGUAUAUGGACUAUUGUAAAAUCCAAAGGUGGCCACCCCGUAGCUACACCAAUGAUAUGGAGUACUAUUGCGUACACAGUACACCUGUUCUGAUCGUAGUCUUGUAGCUCUAUUCACCAGUUGCAAGAGAGGGAACCGAUGGGCGAUGGGCGAUGGCAGAUCUGAGACACUUUAGGGCAUCUGCAUCUCCAAGGGUAAUACUUCGUCCGUUUAGCAAGUGUCUGGACAAUUUGGCUAAUGUUCAUUUAUCAUAUCACCCAAUGAAUACUAGCUAAAUGUCAACAUUCUAAAUUGUUCACACAUAUUUUUCAAUUUCCAUGACAUUCCAUCCCAAUUGAUCAUGCCAUUUCAUCCCAUCUCCAUCCCAAUUGAUCGGUGCAUCUAUACAUUUGACAAAUGAAAGGAGAAGAAAAAUACUGUACUUGCCUCUGUUCCGGCAAACCAUCGCACAGGUUGCGGGCGCCCAACCAUGUGCUGUUCUGAGCGACCCUGGGCUGCCGUCGCAAUGCCACCGAGUCUAGGACUGGCGGGAAAGCAGCCGAAGCAGCUUGCUUCGGUACGAGUGCGGCGGCGGGCGGCAGCGCGGUAGGGCAACGGGGGCGGGCUGCAGCGCAGCGGGGCGACGGCGGCGGCUGCGCGACGACAGCAUCGGGCGGUAGCGCGGCAGGGAGAUGGCGGGCGGCAGGCGGCAGCGGGGCAGUGACGGCGGCGCGCCGGCGGGGUAGAAGGGGCGCGCGUGGAGAGGAUGGUGGAGGGACGCGCGG
rnacentral:lncRNA from 1 species